rnacentral:misc_RNA from 1 species
AAGUCGUAACAAGGUAACCGUAGGUGAACCUGCGGUUGGAUCAUUACAAAAUGAUUGCUUUGCCCUGUUGUUGGACCUUUACGGGUUCACCGGGGCAGAGUUUAAACCCACUGUGCACUGUAAUGUUUUUUGGGUGAACUGCGAGGCUUAACGGCCAAGCACUCGCCCAGCAGUCUAAACCAUUUUAAAUUAGCCUGAGAUUAAUAGUUUAAUAGUAAACAACUUUUGACAACGGAUCUCUUGGCUCUC